rnacentral:rRNA from 1 species
AAGUAGCUUGCUACUUUGCCGGCGAGCGGCGGACGGGUGAGUAAUGUCUGGGAAACUGCGUGAUGGAGGGGGAUAACUACUGGAAACGGUAGCUAAUACCGCAUAACGUCGCAAGACCAAAGAGGGGGACCUUCGGGCCUCUUGCCAUCAGAUGUGCCCAGAUGGGAUUAGCUAGUAGGUGGGGUAACGGCUCACCUAGGCGACGAUCCCUAGCUGGUCUGAGAGGAUGACCAGCCACACUGGAACUGAGACACGGUCCAGACUCCUACGGGAGGCAGCAGUGGGGAAUAUUGCACAAUGGGCGCAAGCCUGAUGCAGCCAUGCCGCGUGUAUGAAGAAGGCCUUCGGGUUGUAAAGUACUUUCAGCGGGGAGGAAGGUGUUGAGGUUAAUAACCUCAGCAAUUGACGUUACCCGCAGAAGAAGCACCGGCUAACUCCGUGCCAGCAGCCGCGGUAAUACGGAGGGUGCAAGCGUUAAUCGGAAUUACUGGGCGUAAAGCGCACGCAGGCGGUCUGUCAAGUCGGAUGUGAAAUCCCCGGGCUCAACCUGGGAACUGCAUUCGAAACUGGCAGGCUAGAGUCUUGUAGAGGGGGGUAGAAUUCCAGGUGUAGCGGUGAAAUGCGUAGAGAUC